rnacentral:rRNA from 1 species
CCUACGGGUGGCAGCAGUGAGGAAUAUUGGUCAAUGGACGAGAGUCUGAACCAGCCAAGUAGCGUGAAGGAUGACUGCCCUAUGGGUUGUAAACUUCUUUUAUAUGGGAAUAAAACAGGGUAUGCAUACCCUCUUGUAUGUACCAUAUGAAUAAGGAUCGGCUAACUCCGUGCCAGCAGCCGCGGUAAUACGGAGGAUCCGAGCGUUAUCCGGAUUUAUUGGGUUUAAAGGGAGCGUAGGUGGAUUGUUAAGUCAGUUGUGAAAGUUUGCGGCUCAACCGUAAAAUUGCAAUUGAAACUGGCGGUCUUGAGUAGAGUAGAAGUGUGCGGAAUGCGUGGUGUAGCGGUGAAAUGCUUAGAUAUCACGAAGAACCCCGAUUGCGAAGGCAGCUCGCUGGACUGCAACUGACACUGAUGCUCGAAAGUGUGGGUAUCGAACAGGAUUAGAUACCCGAGUAGUC